UGUCAUAUUUUUUUAACAAAAUACGAGAAUAUAAUUAUUGAAAAAUGGUUUGUUGGUUCAUAGUUUUGUUUAUUUCAUUUUGCAGGGAUUUUCUCUUGAGUUGGUAAGUAAUUGUUCAUCUCUUUUAUAUAAGUGAGGUAUGUAAAUGUUCUUGGUUAAAAAAAAUGAAUAUUUGUUGCAAGUGUAUUAUGUUUACUGAUUUUUGGACAAGGAUUUGUGUGGUUUUACACACAACUGUUCAUAUUCUCCAUCUAAAUGAAUAUUAUGUUGAUUGAUUUUCGAACAGGAACUUAUCUGGUUUUGAAGAAAACUAUGCAUCUUCUUCAUCUAACUGAAGAUUGACAUCUAUCUUGCAAACAAAAAUAAAAAAGCAUGGAUGAAACUGAAAUCAAGAAGAAACAUGUUAUCAAGCUCUCUUAAAUCAGGUGAUGUGAUGCAUUAUCUACUUUUUUGGAUAAACUUACACGCGCACAGUAUACCUAAUGCAGUACAUCUUUAUGUUGUAUUCUAAUUCUAAUGCAGUG